rnacentral:rRNA from 1 species
AUUGAACGCUGGCGGCAGGCCUAACACAUGCAAGUCGAACGAGUGGCGGACGGGUGAGUAAUGUCUGGGAAACUGCCUGAUGGAGGGGGAUAACUACUGGAAACGGUAGCUAAUACCGCAUACCAUCGGAUGUGCCCAUAUGGGAUUAGCUAGUAGGUGGGGUAAAGGCUCACCUAGGCGACGCUCCCUAGCUGGUCUGAGAGGAUGAUCAGCCACACUGGGACUGAGACACGGGCCAGACUCCUACGGGAGGCAGCAGUGGGGAAUAUUGCACAAUGGGCGCAAGCCUGAUGCAGCCAUGCCGCGGGUAUGAAGAAGGCCUUCGGGUUGUAAAGUACUUUCAGCGGGGAGGCGUUACCCGCAGAAGAAGCACCGGCUAACUCCGUGCCAGCAGCCGCGGUAAUAC